rnacentral:rRNA from 1 species
GAUGAACGCUGGCGGCGUGCUUAACACAUGCAAGUCGAACGGUGAAAGAGAGCUUGCUCUCUGGAUCAGUGGCGAACGGGUGAGUAACACGUGAGCAAUCUGCCCCUGACUCUGGGAUAAGCGCUGGAAACGGCGUCUAAUACCGGAUACGAGCUGCGAAGGCAUCUUCAGCAGCUGGAAAGAACUUCGGUCAGGGAUGAGCUCGCGGCCUAUCAGCUAGUUGGUGAGGUAACGGCUCACCAAGGCGUCGACGGGUAGCCGGCCUGAGAGGGUGACCGGCCACACUGGGACUGAGACACGGCCCAGACUCCUACGGGAGGCAGCAGUGGGGAAUAUUGCACAAUGGGCGAAAGCCUGAUGCAGCAACGCCGCGUGAGGGACGACGGCCUUCGGGUUGUAAACCUCUUUAGCAGGGAAGAAGCGAAAGUGACGGUACCUGCAGAAAAAGCACCGGCUAACUACGUG